UGGGGAAUAUUGCACAAUGGGCGCAAGCCUGAUGCAGCCAUGCCGCGUGUAUGAAGAAGGCCUUCGGGUUGUAAAGUACUUUCAGCGAGGAGGAAGGCGGUAAGGUUAAUAACCUUAUCGAUUGACGUUACUCGCAGAAGAAGCACCGGCUAACUCCGUGCCAGCAGCCGCGGUAAUACGGAGGGUGCAAGCGUUAAUCGGAAUUACUGGGCGUAAAGCGCACGCAGGCGGUCUGUCAAGUCGGAUGUGAAAUCCCCGGGCUCAACCUGGGAACUGCAUUCGAAACUGGUAGGCUAGAGUCUUGUAGAGGGGGGUAGAAUUCCAGGUGUAGCGGUGAAAUGCGUAGAGAUCUGGAGGAAUACCGGUGGCGAAGGCGGCCCCCUGGACAAAGACUGACGCUCAGGUGCGAAAGCGUGGGGAGCAAACA
rnacentral:rRNA from 1 species